rnacentral:rRNA from 1 species
GACAGAGGCCCCAAGCGUUAGGCGGAAUCACUGGGCUUAAAGCGUGUGUAGGCGGACGCCUAAGUGUCUUGUGAAAUCCCACGGCUCACCCGUGGAACUGCUGGGCAUACUGGGCGUCUUGGGCCAACUAGGGGCAGCCGGAACAAGCGGUGGAGCGGUGAAAUGCGUAGAUAUCAGGAGGAACACCGGUGGCGAAGGCGGGUCUCUGGGCCGAUACUGACGCUGAGGAGCGAAAGCGUGGGGAGCGAACAGG